rnacentral:rRNA from 1 species
GACGAACGCUGGCGGCGUGCUUAACACAUGCAAGUCGAACGGAGUGGCGGACGGGUGAGUAACGCGUAAUCAACCUGCCCUUCAAAGGGGGACAACAGUAGGAAACGACUGCUAAUACCGCAUACUGAAGGAGGGGAUUGCGUCCGAUUAGCUAGUUGGAGGGGUAAAGGCCCAACAAGGCGAGGAUCAGUAGCCGGUCUGAGAGGAUGAACGGCCACAUUGGGACUGAGAACAGGCCCAGACUCCUACGGGAGGCAGCAGUGGGGAAUCUUCCGCAAUGGACGAAAGUCUGACGGAGCAACGCCGCGUGAGUGAUGACGGCCUUCGGGUUGUAAAGCUCUGUUAAUCGGGACGCGGUACCGGAAUAGAAAGCCACGGCUAACUACGUGCCAGCAGCCGCGGUAAUAC